AGCACCUCCUCCCGACGGUGUCGCCGAAGUCUCGCGAGCCCGGAGCGUGGCACGUGGGUUGGUAACUGUGGCGCUGCUCCCUCCACCUCCACCUCUGCCCUCCUCAGGCCCCCUCCGCCUCCACCCCUGCCCUCCUCAGGCCCCCUCCGCCUCCACCCCUGCCCUCCUCAGGCCCCCUCCGCCUCCACCCCUGCCCUCCUCAGGCCCCCUCCGCCUCCACCCCUGCCCUCCUCAGGCCCCCUCCGCCUCCACCCCUGCCCUCCUCAGGCCCCCUCCGUCCCCGCCUCGUCCUCCUCAGGCCCCCUCCCCCUCCACCCCUGCCCUCCUCUGGCCCCCUCCGUCCCCGCCCCCGGCCCCACGGCGGGAUGCGGGACAACACCAGUCCCAUCAGCGUGAUUCUGGUGAGCUCGGGGAGCAGGGGCAAUAAGCUGCUGUUCAGGUACCCCUUCCAGAGAAGCCAGGAGCACCCGGCGUCCCAGACAAGUAAGCCGCGUAGCAGAUACGCUGCCAGCAACACGGGCGACCAUGCUGAUGAGCAGGACGGCGAUUCCAGGUUUUCAGAUGUUAUUCUGGCAACAAUUUUGGCAACCAAGUCUGAAAUGUGUGGCCAAAAAUUUGAACUGAAGAUUGAUAAUGUGCGAUUUGUUGGGCACCCAACACUGCUACAGCAUGCUCUGGGGCAGGUCUCCAAAACAGAUCCUUCCCCGAAGAGGGAAGCACCUACUAUGAUUCUUUUUAAUGUGGUGUUUGCACUGAGGGCCAACGCAGACCCGUCAGUGAUAAACUGUCUGCAUAACCUGUCCCGUCGUAUCGCCACCGUGCUGCAGCACGAGGAGCGCCGCUGCCAGUACCUCACCCGGGAGGCCAAGCUGAUCCUGGCGCUCCAGGAUGAGGUGUCCGCCAUGGCUGAUGGAAAUGAAGGUCCUCAGUCCCCAUUCCAUCACAUCCUGCCCAAGUGCAAGCUGGCCAGGGACCUCAAGGAAGCUUACGACAGCCUGUGCACGUCGGGCGUAGUUCGGCUUCACAUCAACAGCUGGCUGGAGGUGAGCUUCUGCCUGCCCCACAAGAUCCACUAUGCGGCCUCCAGUCUGAUCCCCCCAGAGGCCAUCGAACGGAGCCUGAAAGCCAUCCGCCCCUACCAUGCCCUGCUGCUGCUCAGUGAUGAGAAGUCCUUGCUGGCUGAGCUUCCUAUUGACUGCUCCCCUGCCCUAGUGCGGGUGAUCAAGACCACAUCUGCUGUGAAGAACCUGCAGCAGCUAGCCCAGGAUGCGGACCUGGCCUUGCUGCAGGUUUUCCAGCUUGCAGCUCAUCUGGUGUACUGGGGCAAGGCCAUCAUCAUCUACCCGCUGUGUGAGAACAACGUCUACAUGCUGUCUCCCAAUGCCAGCGUAUGUCUGUACUCCCCGCUGGCCGAGCAGUUCUCCCACCAGUUCCCAUCUCAUGACCUGCCGUCCGUUCUUGCCAAGUUCUCCUUGCCGGUCUCCUUGUCAGAAUUUAGGAAUCCCCUGGCCCCCGCUGUGCAGGAGACCCAGCUCAUCCAGAUGGUGGUGUGGAUGCUGCAGCGCCGGCUUCUCAUCCAGCUGCACACCUAUGUCUGCCUGAUGGCCUCACCCAGCGAGGAGGAGCCCCGUCCGCGAGAGGACGACGUCCCCUUCACUGCCCGGGUCGGCGGUCGCAGCCUCAGCACGCCCAACGCCCUCAGCUUUGGCUCCCCAACCAGCAGCGAUGACAUGACCCUCACCAGCCCCAGCAUGGACAACUCCAGCGCAGAGCUACUUCCCAGCGGGGACUCGCCACUGAACCAGAGGAUGACGGAGAACCUGCUGGCCAGCCUGUCGGAGCAUGAACGCGCAGCCAUCCUCAGUGUACCCGCAGCCCAGAACCCUGAGGACCUCCGCAUGUUUGCCAGGCUCCUUCACUACUUCCGCGGCCGCCACCACCUGGAGGAGAUUAUGUACAACGAGAACACGCGGCGCUCCCAGCUGCUCAUGCUGUUUGACAAGUUCCGCAGCGUGCUGGUGGUGACCACCCACGAGGACCCCGUCAUUGCCGUCUUCCAGGCUCUGCUCCCCUGAGCCCAGGCGGAGGGCGGAAGGCUGCUGGGGUGCGCAGGUUUGGAAAGGCCCCUUGGAUUCCUGGCUGGGGACAAUGAUGACCUGGACCCUGGCCAGAAGAGCCCUAGCCCUCCAGCAAGGCAGCACCUGCUGUGAUGCACCUGUGCACCCCUGGCCCUCCCAGCCACCUGGGAGUCAGAAGCUUAGCCUGGAGGUGGCCAAGCCAGUCCCUACUCUUGGGCUGCGGCCACCUGAGGCUCUGCAUCAGCAGCCAGAGGGGAGCACUAGUGGACAAAGCCAGCAAAUGCGGCGUUCCUGUGAGCAGAUACCCUCAACCAGCCAGCUGUCAAAGUAUUUCAAGAUAAAAUCAAGGCCAAGCAAAGCCUUUAAGUUCCCGUCCAUUCUGUGAUUCCCACGCUGCUUCCAGCUCACCAGGUGGGGUGCCCGCUGCCCACCCUGACCCACCUCAGUAGGGAGGAGCAGGACCCUCUACAUCCCUGUGGGUACAGGGCACAUGCCCCUCAUUGUCUCACUGAGCCCCCACAGAGCCACCUGCAAAUGAGUCAAAGCCUGGCCGCCCUCAUCACCACACCCCCGUGCCCUGGCUCCUUCACACAGAACACAUCCAAGUCCCACAUCCUGACAAAAACACGACCCCUUUGAUCACUUCCUGCCGAACCUCCCUUUCCUCACCGACUCCUCUGCCGACCCUAACUCCCUCUGCUGUGCCCACUGCUCCAUCCUUGGCGACCUGACCACGCUGCUCUUAGCACUGCAGUCAUCCUCUUCUCCAAUCAGCUUCUCAUCCUCAUGAGCUGCCUCCGUGAAGGGCAGGCGACACUUGUGUCCUCGGCCUCCUUUCUGCCUCCACUCCAACCAACCCUUUCUUUUCCUUUCUUUUUUUUUUUUUUUUUGAGAUGGAGUCUUGCUCUGUCACCCAGGCUGGAGUGUCGUGGCACGAUCUUGGCUCCCUACAACCUCCGCCUCCUGGGUUCAAGCGAUUCUCCUGACUCCGCCUCCCUAGUAGCUGGGAUUACAGGUGCCCACUACCAUGCCCAGCUAAUUUUUGUAUUUUUGGUAGAGACAGAGUUUCACCGUGUUGGCCAGGCUGGUGUCAAACUCCUGACCUCAGGUGAUCCGCCCGCCUCGGCCUCCCGAAGUGCUGGGAUGACAGGCGUGAGCCACCGCGCCCGGCCCCACCCAGCCCUUUUUACCCCUUUAACCAGCCCUGCCCCGUCAACGUAGCCAGAGCUCCCGAAACCCUGGCCUGGCCUGGAAGUGGCACCUCCUCGCUCAAAUGCCAGCCCCACCUCAGUCCUCCUAGUGGUCCCCUGGCUGCUAGCGGACAGGGCUCUGCCAGCCCUCCAACCCCCCGUGCCCCAGUACUGCUCACCCUGGCUGGAGAUGUUCAUGCAGAAGUACAUGCCAUAAAUGAUGUACACGUACAGGGUCCCCGGCUUCAUGAACAUGCCUCGGUUGCGAGGGGUCUGCCGGCCACCCCUUGAGUGGGCAGCUUCAUCCUCUGGCCCCAGGUAUGCCUCGGUCUCCACGAUGCGGCCUCGGAGUUCUGUGCCAUUAGGAAGUCGCCGGACUAGGACCUGUGGGCAGUCAGUUUCUGCUCAGGGCGGGAAGGGAUGGGGGUCCACUCACCCUAACAGUGCCCAGCCUGGACCUCAUCUCCCCAGCUCAGGGUGUGUCAGCCGCCCAGGUCUAGCCAGGGACCUUGCCCCGUCUCCAUCCUGCCUCUUCUCUUGCUCCUGCUGAGGCUGAAUGUGGCCACUGAGGGCACCAGUUGUCUCCUCCAGCCCUGCUAGACAACCAGACCGCAGGCCGAAGACACCUCAGGCCACAGCCAGGCUGGGCUGGGAACCGGCAGUCAUGGAUUCACCUUGCAGGUCGACCUCCAAGUCCUCUCAGCAGGACCCUCCAUUCCCCAGCUUCCUCCUUUCCCAAGUACCCUUGAGAAAACCAUCAGCAUUUAGCACGAGGCCAGGCAUCACGGAAGGCACAGGACCCCAAGGAUGUCCCCACAUCAUUUACCUGGCCAAUCCCAGAGCCCGUGAAGUCCCCUAAACCUGGGCUGCUGAGGUGGCCACAAGGGACCCUCAUACUCAGCUCCCACCCUCCGGCUUUCUGACAGUAGGCCCAGCUGCCCCACGGUGCCCCAGCCUGGACCAUGGUCCUGGUAACGGCCAACAGUUGUGUCACUGCUCGGAGCCCCAGAGUUAACAGCAGAGCACUGGGGACCAACCACAUCCCCUGCACCUCUCUCGUUUUUAGGCCAGAUAGGUCAGCUGGACAGCCAGGCUACCUUCACCUCAGCCCACGAAGCCCUGUGGUGCCAAAGGCCAUGGUCAGUAUCACGGGCUGGGGAGGAGGGGCACUGGAGCUUAGAUGCUCGCCAGGGGAGUAUUCAGCAGGCCUUCCCGGAGAUAGGGUGGUGGGAAGAAGGGGUCAGCGCGGGGAGCAUUCAGGAGGCCUUCCCGGAGAUAGGGUGGUGGGAAGAAGGGGUCAGUGCCUGUGCGGGAAGCCCAGAAAUCCUUAGGCAUCCAGAGCUGUGAGGACAGAAGUGAACAGGCCAGGCCAUGUCCAGGGGAGAAAGGGUGGCCCUGUUCCAUCUUCCCUGGAGCUUAGAGGGAAUGCCCCUCCAGGGGCUUCACUCUGCACACUCCUGUGCCUCCAUGGGGGCACACUGAGGGGGGGGGGGGCCCAACUACCACUCUGGAGAGGAGGUUCCCACAGCCCUUUUCUCAUUGUUUCCUUUUCCAUCCCAAAUUUCUGAUCAGGAUUUCACUGAUACCAUUUCCACCAAUGGCAGAUACUGGGGCCUCUCACCCCUCCCCACCCCCAUGGCCAACACACACCCCUCUUCCUUGUUGGCAGAGCCUCCUGGGGGACACCACACCCUCCUCAGCCCGGAGAGUGGCCUGGGAUUUCAUGGCAACUCACUGCAGUGACCCUUUUAGGGAUGAGUGCAUGACCCAAGCCUGGCUGAGGGGUCUGCAAGGGCAUCCACUAGGAGGUUAUGGAGAGGGCAGAGGGCUGUCCCUGGUCCAAGGGACACAGGGUGAGACACCCUCUUCUCUGCUGGACAUCAUCUUGUCCACCAAUGGGCUCAAGUGGGCAUGACCGUGGCCUGCCAAGGAUGCUGAAUAGAAACAAACGUAUUGUGGUCCCUGAUGCCAUGCUGGGCCCUUGCCCUGUUCCUACGAUGCACCUGCCACACGUGCCAUUUUGUUGUAUCACAAAUGCCCAUUGUAUUUUUUUUUUUAUUUUUGAGACGGAGUCUCGCCCUGUCGCCCAGGCCGGAGUGCAAUGGCGUGAUCUCAGCUCACUGCAACUCUGCCUCCUGGGUUCAAGUGAUUCUCCUGCCUCAGCCUCCCGAGUAGCUGAGAUUAGAAGCGCCCGUCAUCACAUCCAGCUAAUUUUUGUAUUUUUAGUAGAGAUGGGGUUUCACCAUGUUGGUCAGGCUGGUCUCAAACUCCUGGCCUCGUGAUCCGCCCGCCUCGGCCUCCCAAAGUGCUGGGAUUACCGGCAUGAGCCACCACACCUGGCCACAAAUGCCCAUUACUUAAGGUGCUUUUACAAGGAUCCGCAUGGGGACAGAAUGUUGUUUGUUCUCCACGAGGUCGAGCCCACAUUCUAGGGUCUGCUCCUUUAGCACCCAACUCCUGGCACUGGUAUUUCUCUUCUGGUUCUUCUUGGUGAUUAUAACCUAAAAGUAGGCUCAUUAAAGGACAAAGGGAAGGCCUUGGAGCCUCUGGAGAACCAGAAAGGCAGGCCUGGGGCUUUGGCAUCGAGGACCACCACCACCACCUCGCUCCCAACAGAUCCAGCCAAGAUGCCACGGCUGUGUGAGCAUCUGCUUGUGGGGACAGGCUGCACUGUAGGCCCCACCAGGAUGGGACCUGGGCAGUCCCUGCUUCUUACUCCAAGUCUGAUUGGCAGAGCCCAGAUCUUUGACCUACACUAAGCUGCAGGGGACCUGGGAAGCCAGCACUGCACUGUGAGCCACUACAGCGGGAAGGGGCAGCCCGACACUGGCCACAGCCACAGUUCCCACGUGUGGAAAAACUGAGGUGGAUUGCCGAUGAUCUCAGGCAACUGAGAUGAAGCUAAGCAGGGACCAGUGUGAGCAAAGCCGCUAAAUGCAUGAGGACAAGGAGGACUAACCGAGGGCCAAUCCAGCAGGCAGCGGACAGGGGUUCAGGGACAACUGCAGUGACAGGCACUUCAGGAGGGACCUUGCUGCUAUGUUCACAUUACCUGUCCCAGAAAUGCCCGGGCCAGGGGGACUGCCGGCUGGUCGAAAAACUCCAACCCCAGUCGGGUAAGGUGGCCCUUUGGGCUUGAGAAAUAGAUGCUGCGGUACGGGCCCGGAGUGGUGGGCGGUCCCAACCAGUGCUCCCUGGGGCAAGGUGCCUGGGCUGCGUCGGACGAGCUGUGUGGCUGCCCUGCUCUAGCUGGUCGCUGCUUCUUUUGCCCCAUCCUUCGGCAAAACUGUAAUGGAAAAAAAAUAAAUAAGCAUCCGAAUAG